rnacentral:rRNA from 1 species
GACGAACGCUGGCGGCGUGCUUAACACAUGCAAGUCGAACGGAAAGGCCCUGCUUUUGUGGGGUGCUCGAGUGGCGAACGGGUGAGUAACACGUGAGUAACCUGCCCUUGACUUUGGGAUAACUUCAGGAAACUGGGGCGAAUACCGGAUAGGAGCUCCUGCUGCAUGGUGGGGGUUGGAAAGUUUCGGCGGUUGGGGAUGGACUCGCGGCUUAUCAGCUGGUUGGUGGGGUAGUGGCUUACCAAGGCUUUGACGGGUAGCCGGCCUGAGAGGGUGACCGGCCACAUUGGGACUGAGAUACGGCCCAGAAUCCUACGGGAGGCAGCAGUGGGGAAUAUUGCACAAUGGGCGGAAGCCUGAUGCAGCAACGCCGCGUGCGGGAUGACGGCCUUCGGGUUGUAAACCGCUUUCGCCUGUGACGAAGCGUGCGUGACGGUAAUGGGUAAAGAAGCACCGGCUAACUACGUG